rnacentral:lncRNA from 1 species
AAAACGGAAAAGAAGAGACUCAAGAUGAGAACCCGCCAGACCCACACGCAAGGUUAAGGACGUGUAGACUUACCCUGGGCUUGCUCACACUUGACCCAGAAGCCUGAGAUGUGGCAUUUCUGAAGUGUCCAAUUUAUGAAGUUGAAAACUGGGGCAAGCUCAUCUGUUUGUGCAAUGUUGAUUGCCAACGGUUAAUCACCAAGGGUAAGUGGAAGAAAUCAUUCCUGUUCAUUUGCAAAUGGAAAUCAAAUGAGGACUGUGCCGAAAUGCAUCAGCAUUUUCACUUCCAACUGCAAGGAUUUCAGAAGACAGCUGACCUUGGGCUGCCUGGCAGGCACGGGCCUGGCGCCGAUACUUCUGCUCAGAGUGCCUGUGCUUUUUGGUAAGGCUCAGGACGUUCCCUGCCAUUCCUGCCCGUUUCAAAGGCAGACCCAUUUAGUUUGGAAAGUAGGAAGCAUUUUCAGAUGCUGUGAAUUCAUGUGCACACACCACUGCCACUUCUUGCUUUUUUAUGGCUCCGCAGAGACUUGGGAUGCACUUCACCUUGCUGAAGGGGCUCAGCUAAUUAUGCUGAAAUCCUUCCAAGAGGCGAAGUGAUGUGUUUAUACAUCCUCCUUGCUGAACUGUUGGCCUCAAGAAAUUUUAUAAUAAUAAAGCAUUUCCAUGUUGGGUGCAUGCAUCAAGUCCUGAAGUAAUAGCCCCACGUAUCAGAUGUGUAAUGGAUUUCUCUCCAUGCUGCGGGAUUCAUUACCAUGAUUUAUGGCUGUUUUAAUGUACACAGCCUUCUUAAACAACUUAGAGUUGAUUGUUCUGGAACUAGACUUGGGUCCAAGAUA